rnacentral:lncRNA from 1 species
CUAUCGCUUGUAAAGCAUCCCAGGUAGUUCUCUAAGCACCGGUUAACCACCUCCCUCACAGUUUGCAUGAGAUUCCACUUAUUCUAUGUCAUUUUAAGCCUUAGGUAGUUGUUCCUCCAGCAGUUCUGUUCUUGGUCUGAUAGUCUUGUUAACGCUUUCUAAUCGACUUUCUUUCUUGUAUAGAUCUUCCUUUCCUUCCUCGUCCAGUGACGGAUUUGCUCCCUCUUUUAGUAAGUCUUCUUCUUUAGUAAGAAGAGUACUGCCUAAAGCAAUGUGAGUGAAAGUGUCUAUAUGGGAACCGGCCGUAAACUCCUUUUCUAGUGUAGAUCCCCUUCCUUAUGAAUAAGUUCCCUGGGUACAAGGAAUGAGUGCUCCUAAUGUCUUUUCUCUGUUUCGGUGUAGAUCGUCUCUUUGUCUAUGGAGACCUUUUCAAGUCGUCCAUUCUCUUCGGUAUGGAUUCAAAGUCAUCCCUCACGCGGGUGCAGGGAGUCCUGCUUGUGCUCUUUCUUUGUGGUCCGGGCCAAGCACUCCAUAUGUGUUUCGGUAUUGAUCUGAGCACUCGUGUAACUACUAAUAAAGCUCGAGGGACCUUUCUUUCUGAGGGCUACCGGUGUUACUUCUCUUGGUCAGGUCUAAAGGUAUAAGGGNAAGCCCUUUUCUUAUUAGUAUUAGAUAGAGGAUGAUCCUGAACCUACUACUAUUGAAUAAUCCUGGUAGUCCAACAACAUAAAAGGUUAUUCCUCGAAAGAUUGUUCCUUCGUUGACUAGAACGAGAAGUACCAGAUGGGGGAGACCCGCGACUUCAACGAAAUAGACUACCUCACUAAGAUGGNUGUCAGCCCGAGUGCCUGUCACGACCACAACUACCAAGAUUCAACCGUCUUUUGUUUUGCUGCUGCUAGCUGCCCGAUGUGCUUUUGCAGUCCUGUUAUGGUGCCUGCUUGACAAAGACAAAGAAAAUAUCCUUCCAGUUGAGAUAAAUGUUUCCAUUUGAAGUCGAUUUCUGAUACUGAUAGAAAAUAAAAUGGCAGAAAAAAAGUGAACAAGCAUUUCAUUCGGGAUAACCCAAAAGAAAGCCUCCCCUCACUCGUUAGUAUUCCANUUUUCUUGAGCCAACCACCCACAUUAAAAUUUCAUCUGCUCUUGCAAGUCUGAUCCGUGAAUUGAAAAUAGAAAGAAGCUGCUCAUAAGUGACAAUCCGACGAUAAAAUAAAGAAGCGUUCUACAGGUACUUGACUUCCCACCAAAAAGAAAAAGUCUUAUUCAUUUUUAUUAUUNAUACCGAAAGAGGAGUCCCUCCAAGGAGUAUGGUGGCACUAGCUCAUGUUCAGAUUUCAUUCCUGUAUCUAUUCCAGAAGAUUGAAAAAACCCGACAAUCGCUAUGUUGAUGCCCCCUACCACAUGUAGGGGUAACUUCCCGGUUCAUAAGCCCUUCCCUUCCAUUAUCAAAUCCAUCCAUGACAUUGUGUAUCUAACAAAACCCACUUGACCUUCCCUUCCAUUAUCAAAUCCAUCCAUGACAUUGUGUAUCUAACAAAACCCACUUGACCUUCCCCCUCUUCUUUUUUUUUUAUUUUUAUAAUAAAUUCAAAUGGAUGGGCAUCUACUCGCUGACAUUUCUAGAAUGUCCAAUAGGCAUGUUUUACGCCGAAAGCUAUAUGAAAUUUUAGCUGGGAAGAGACAAGUUGAUCUUCUAUCUUAGAAUGCACAUGCUCUAUUACUNGUUAGUCGUCGGUUGCUCAACCGCUUAUCCUUUAAUAUGAGUUGCAUCCCGAAUGCAAAUAACAAGACAAGAUCGUUUCAAUGAGGAGUAGAAAGAAAGCAGUCCUCAAUAAGAAGAAUUCCCUACUUGCAACCUACUCGUAGACAAGCGAUAAACUCACCUGCUGUCUCUUUAUUCUUCUUAGACUCGCCUUGCUGAAAGUAUUCCGAUCGCUAACUCUCAACAGGAUUUUUAUCCUCUAUCUCAAUCGAACUAG